rnacentral:rRNA from 1 species
CACGUAGGCACCAAGCGUUGUCCGGAAUUAUUGGGCGUAAAGGGCUCGUAGGCGGUUUGUCACGUCGGGAGUGAAAACUCGGGGCUUAACCCCGAGCCUGCUUCCGAUACGGGCAGACUAGAGGUAUGCAGGGGAGAACGGAAUUCCUGGUGUAGCGGUGAAAUGCGCAGAUAUCAGGAGGAACACCGGUGGCGAAGGCGGUUCUCUGGGCCGUAACUGACGCUGAGGAGCGAAAGCGUGGGGAGCGAACAGG